rnacentral:snRNA from 1 species
UUCCUUAUCUGGCAGGGGAAGCACCAUGACCACGUAGGCGGGCUCCCCAGGGCAGAUGGUUGUCCCUAAUAUGUCCUCCAUAAGAGGUCUAUAUUGAGUAGAUUUUUGGUGUUGGGAGGUGGAACUGGAGCUUGCUCCAUCCACUC